rnacentral:rRNA from 1 species
UAGGGAAUCUUCCACAAUGGGCGCAAGCCUGAUGGAGCAACACCGCGUGAGUGAAGAAGGGUUUCGGCUCGUAAAGCUCUGUUGUUAAAGAAGAACACGUAUGAGAGUAACUGUUCAUACGUUGACGGUAUUUAACCAGAAGUCGCGGCUAACUACGUGCCAG